rnacentral:rRNA from 1 species
GACGAACGCUGGCGGCGUGCCUAAUACAUGCAAGUAGAACGCACAGUUUAUACCGUGGCUUGCUACACCAUAGACUGUGAGUUGCGAACGGGUGAGUAACGCGUAGGUAACCUGCCUGGUAGCGGGGGAUAACUAUUGUAAACGAUAGCUAAUACCGCAUAAUAUUAAUUAUUGCAUGAUAAUUGAUUGAAAGAUGCAACUGCAUCACUACCAGAUGGACCUGCGUUGUAUUAGCUAGUAGGUGAGGUAACGGCUCACCUAGGCGACGAUACAUAGCCGACCUGCGAGGGUGGGCGGCCACACUGGGACUGAGACACGGCCCAGACUCCUUCGGGAGGCAGCAGUAGGGAAUCUUCGGCAAUGGACGAAAGUCUGACCGAGCAACGCCGCGUGAGUGAAGAAGGGUGUCGGAUCGUAAAGCUCUGUUGUAAGAGAAGAACGGGUGUGAGAGUGGAAAGUUCACACUGUGACGGUAUCUUACCAGAAAGCGACGGCUAACUACGUG